GUAUCUGCUCAGUUUACUGAUCUUAGCAAGUCCAUGGAUGAUAUUCACAAGUGCAUCGAUGACAACUUCAAAAAGGUUGUUGAGGCAAUAAAUGGAAAACAAACAUCAAAAAAGGCUGCCGAUAGUGAAGCUCCGUUACAUCAAUACGAGGUUGGCAUACAAUACUCGCAUGAAUUCAAUCAAGAACAACAUUCUGCCAAAGAGACAUCAACUGUCAAAGAUGGUAUUGAUGAAAAUAAGAUGAAGGUUGCAGGCACAAUGUUACCUGGCGAUGUUUCUGGUGUUGGAAUGCGCCGAAGUACACAAAGUGGGGAUACUUUAAAGGCUUCAACUGAAAAGAUUCAAGGUAGCGGUGAAACACCCCCGAAGUGAACACAACCCCAGGGUGAGGCAGUCAUGGUGCAUACACAUGUGCCGGUUUCGGCUGUG